GUCUACAGCCAUAUCACCCUGAACAAGCCCGAUGUCUGAUCUCGGAAGCUAAGCAGGGUCUGACCUGGUUAGUACUUGGAUGGGAGACCACCUAGGAAGACCAGGUGCUGUAGGCA
rnacentral:rRNA from 1 species